rnacentral:rRNA from 1 species
GAUGAACGCUGGCGGCGUGCCUAACACAUGCAAGUCGAGCGAACCCUUCGGGGUGAGCGGCGGACGGGUGAGUAACGCGUGGGUAACCUGCCCUGUACACACGGAUAACAUAUCGAAAGGUAUGCUAAUACGGGAUGACAUAUGAAAGUCGCAUGGCUUUUGUAUCAAAGCUCUGGCGGUACAGGAUGGACCCGCGUCUGAUUAGCUAGUUGGUAAGGUAACGGCUUACCAAGGCAACGAUCAGUAGCCGACCUGAGAGGGUGAUCGGCCACAUUGGAACUGAGACACGGUCCAAACUCCUACGGGAGGCAGCAGUGGGGAAUAUUGCACAAUGGGCGAAAGCCUGAUGCAGCAACGCCGCGUGAGCGAUGAAGGCCUUCGGGUCGUAAAGCUCUGUCCUCAAGGAAGAUAAUGACGGUACUUGAGGAGGAAGCCCCGGCUAACUACGUGCCAGCAGCCGCGGUAAUACGUAGGGGGCUAGCGUUAUCCGGAAUUACUGGGCGUAAAGGGUGCGUAGGUGGUUUUUUAAGUCAGAAGUGAAAGGCUACGGCUCAACCGUAGUAAGCUUUUGAAACUGAAGAACUUGAGUGCAGGAGAGGAGAGUAGAAUUCCUAGUGUAGCGGUGAAAUGCGUAGAUAUUAGGAGGAAUACCAGUAGCGAAGGCGGCUCUCUGGACUGUAACUGACACUGAGGCACGAAAGCGUGGGGAGCAAACAGGAUUAGAUACCCUGGUAGUCCACGCCGUAAACGAUGAGUACUAGGUGUCGGGGGUUACCCCCCUCGGUGCCGCAGCUAACGCAUUAAGUACUCCGCCUGGGAAGUACGCUCGCAAGAGUGAAACUCAAAGGAAUUGACGGGGACCCGCACAAGUAGCGGAGCAUGUGGUUUAAUUCGAAGCAACGCGAAGAACCUUACCUAAGCUUGACAUCCCACUGAUCUCUCCCUAAUCGGAGAUUUCCCUUCGGGGACAGUGGUGACAGGUGGUGCAUGGUUGUCGUCAGCUCGUGUCGUGAGAUGUUGGGUUAAGUCCCGCAACGAGCGCAACCCUUGCCUUUAGUUGCCAGCAUUAAGUUGGGCACUCUAGAGGGACUGCCGAGGAUAACUCGGAGGAAGGUGGGGAUGACGUCAAAUCAUCAUGCCCCUUAUGCUUAGGGCUACACACGUGCUACAAUGGGUGGUACAGAGGGUUGCCAAGCCGUGAGGUGGAGCUAAUCCCUUAAAGCCAUUCUCAGUUCGGAUUGUAGGCUGAAACUCGCCUACAUGAAGCUGGAGUUACUAGUAAUCGCAGAUCAGAAUGCUGCGGUGAAUGCGUUCCCGGGUCUUGUACACACCGCCCGUCACACCACGGGAGUUGGGGGCGCCCGAAGCCGGUUAGCUAACCUUUUAGGAAGCGGCCGUCGAAGGUGAAACCAAUGACUGGGGUGAAGUCGUAACAAGGUAGCCGUAUCGGAAGGUGCGGCUGGAUCACCUCCUUUCUAAGGAGUAAUUACCUACUGUUUAAUUUUGAGAGUUCAUCUCUCUGUUAGUACUUUAAGCAACGGGACAUGAACGUAUGUGAAUGGACGUUGGCGACGUACUGUUAGUACUUUGAAAACUGCAUAACAUUUAGUGAUGAUUAAAUAAACCAAUUAUAAGAGAAGACAACUCUUUAAAAAAUAACACUUUUAAUAACUGGUCAAGUUAUUAAGGGCGCAGGGCGGAUGCCUUGGCACUAAGAGCCGAUGAAGGACGCGAUAAGCUGCGAUAAGCUUCGGGGAGUUGCACGUAAACUUUGAUCCGAAGAUUUCCGAAUGAGGAAACUCACUUAGAGUAAUGUCUAAGUAUCAUUAAGUGAAUACAUAGCUUAAUGAGGGGAACCCGGGGAACUGAAACAUCUAAGUACCCGGAGGAAAAGAAAGAAAUUCGAUUCCGUAAGUAGCGGCGAGCGAACGCGGAAUAGCCCAAACCAGUGAAGUUUUCUUCGCUGGGGUUGCGGACAUAUCACAAACAAGAGGUCAUCGUAAACGAAGAGAGUUGGAAAGCUCCGCUAUAAAGUGUAAUAGCCACGUAGUUGAAACGAUAAUUCUUUAGAUAUGAUCCAGAGUACCACGGGACACGUGAAACCCUGUGGGAAGCAGGAGGGACCAUCCUCCAAGGCUAAAUACUACUUAGUGACCGAUAGCGCAU